rnacentral:pre_miRNA from 1 species
UCUUAGGGAUGAACAACAAAAGUGGUUUCUUGAGAUGGAAUCUGUUUCUUAUGAAGGUGCUGUGAA